AAUCAACGCUGGCGGCGCGCCUAACACAUGCAAGUCGAACGAGAAAGUGGGAAACCAUGAGUACAGUGGCGUACGGGUGAGUAACACGUGGGUGAUCUACCUUUUAGUGAGGAAUAACCCUGGGAAACCGGGGCUAAUACCGCAUAAGCCCGAGAGGGGAAAGCAGCAAUGCGCUGAAAGAGGAGCCCGCGGCCGAUUAGCUAGUUGGUGGGGUAAGAGCCCACCAAGGCAGAGAUCGGUAGCCGGCCUGAGAGGGCACACGGCCACACU
rnacentral:rRNA from 1 species